rnacentral:rRNA from 1 species
UACAGAGGGUGCAAGCGUUAAUCGGAAUCACUGGGCGUAAAGCGUGCGUAGGCGGCUUAGCAAGUCGGGCGUGAAAUCCCCGGGCUCAACCUGGGAAUGGCACUCGAUACUACUAAGCUAGAGUGUGGUAGAGGGAAGUGGAAUUCCCGGUGUAGCGGUGAAAUGCGUAGAUAUCGGGAGGAACAUCAGUGGCGAAGGCGACUUCCUGGACCAACACUGACGCUGAGGCACGAAAGCGUGGGGAGCAAACAGG